rnacentral:misc_RNA from 1 species
GAUGAAGAACGCAGCGAAAUGCGAUACUUGGUGUGAAUUGCAGAAUCCCGUGAACCAUCGAGUCUUUGAACGCAAGUUGCGCCCGAAGCCGUCAGGCCGAGGGCACGCCUGCCUGGGCGUCACACGCCGUUGCCUCCCCCGCGCCCCGCACCCAACUCUUUGGGAGCGACCGCGGGGCGGGCUGAUGAUGGCCUCCCGUGCGCUCCGCCGCGCGGUUGGCCCAAAUACCGAGUCCCCGGCGACGUGCGCCACGACGAUCGGUGGUUGAGAGACCUCUGUCGCAAGUCGUGCGCGCCCGUCGCGUCACGCGGGCUCGCAUAGCGCCUCGCGCCGCACCCGGUGCGGAGCUUUCAACGCGACCCCAGGUCAGGCGGGGUUACCCGCUGAAUUUAAGCAUAUCAAUAAGCGGAGGA